AGUCACUGACAUUAGAUACCCCUGUAGUCCAGGGUGUAAACGCUGCAGACUUGGUGUUGGAAACCCUUCGGGGGUGCUCAGUGCCGGAGAGAAGUUGUUAAGUCUGCUACUUGGGGAGUACGUCCGCAAGGAUGAAACUUAAAGGAAUUGGCGGGGGAGCACCGCAACGGGAGGAGCGUGCGGUUUAAUUGGAUUCAACACCGUAAAACUCACCAGGGAAGACUGUUACAUGAAGGCCGAGAUGAAGACUCUGCUAGAUUUUCAG
rnacentral:rRNA from 1 species